rnacentral:rRNA from 1 species
CGGAAUGAUUGGGCGUAAAGCGUCCGCAGGUGGCAACUCAAGUUUGCGGUUAAAGGUUCUGGCUCAACCAGAGACAGGCCGUGAAAACUGAGUAGCUAGAGUAUGGUAGGGGCAGAGGGAAUUCCCAGUGUAGCGGUGAAAUGCGUAGAGAUUGGGAAGAACACCGGUGGCGAAAGCGCUCUGCUAGGCCAAAACUGACACUGAGGGACGAAAGCUAGGGGAGCGAAUG